UACGUAGGGGGCGAGCGUUGUCCGGAUUUAUUGGGCGUAAAACGCUUGUAGGUGGCUACGUCAAGUCGGACUUGAAAUCUCCCGGCUUAACUGGGAGGGGUCGCUCGAUACUGGCGAGCUCGAGGCAGGUAGGGGGAAGCGGAAUUCCCGGUGUAGUGGUGGAAUGCGUAGAUAUCGGGAGGAACACCAGUGGCGAAGGCGGCUUCCUGGACCUGUUCUGACACUGAGGAGCGAAAGCGUGGGGAGCGAUCCGG
rnacentral:rRNA from 1 species